GAUGAACGCUGGCGGCGUGCUUAACACAUGCAAGUCGAACGAAGCUGCUUAACUGAUCUUCUUCGGAAUUGACGUUUUGUAGACUGAGUGGCGGACGGGUGAGUAACGCGUGGGUAACCUGCCCUGUACAGGGGGAUAACAGUCAGAAAUGACUGCUAAUACCGCAUAAGACCACAGCACCGCAUGGUGCAGGGGUAAAAACUCCGGUGGUACAGGAUGGACCCGCGUCUGAUUAGCUGGUUGGUGAGGUAACGGCUCACCAAGGCGACGAUCAGUAGCCGGCUUGAGAGAGUGAACGGCCACAUUGGGACUGAGACACGGCCCAAACUCCUACGGGAGGCAGCAGUGGGGAAUAUUGCACAAUGGGGGAAACCCUGAUGCAGCGACGCCGCGUGAGUGAAGAAGUAUCUCGGUAUGUAAAGCUCUAUCAGCAGGGAAGAAAA
rnacentral:rRNA from 1 species